ensembl:lncRNA
CGGACGGCCGCGUUGCUCCCGCUCCAGUUCCACCCCAGUCCUCGGAGGAUGAACGCGCUGAGGCUGCCGGCCGAGCCCGGCAGGGAGCAUCAUUUCUUGUAUUGUCGAUGAGUAAAAGCAUGAGAAUUGAGGAAUCAUUAAGGUUGGAAAAGACCUCUAAGAUUAUCUAGUCCAACCAUCAGCCCAUUCCCACCAUGCCCACCGAACCAUGCCCUGCAGUAUUACGUCUCCAUGAUUCUUCAGCGCCUCCAGGUGAUUCCACCACCUCCAUGGGCAGUUGUUCCAGCACCUGAUCAUUCUUUCUGAGAAUAAAUUUUUUCCUAAU